CCUACGGGCGGCAGCAGUGGGGAAUAUUGGACAAUGGGGGCAACCCUGAUCCAGCCAUGCCGCGUGUGUGAAGAAGGCCCUCGGGUUGUAAAGCACUUUCAGUGAGGAAGAACGCCUGGUGGUUAAUACCCAUCAGGAAAGACAUCACUCACAGAAGAAGCACCGGCUAACUCCGGGCCAGCAGCCGCGGUAAUACGGAGGGUGCGAGCGUUAAUCGGAAUUACUGGGCGUAAAGCGCGCGUAGGUGGCUUGAUAAGCCGGUUGUGAAAGCCCCGGGCUCAACCUGGGAACGGCAUCCGGAACUGUCAAGCUAGAGUGCAGGAGAGGAAGGUAGAAUUCCCGGUGUAGCGGUGAAAUGCGUAGAGAUCGGGAGGAAUACCAGUGGCGAAGGCGGCCUUCUGGACUGUCACUGACACUGAGGUGCGAAAGCGUGGGUAGCAAACAGGAUUAGAUACCCCGGUAGUC
rnacentral:rRNA from 1 species